GACGAACGCUGGCGGCGUGCUUAACACAUGCAAGUCGAACGGAAAGGCCCUGCUUUUGUGGGGUGCUCGAGUGGCGAACGGGUGAGUAACACGUGAGUAACCUUCCCUUGACUUUGGGAUAACUUCAGGAAACUGGGGCUAAUACCGGAUAGGAGCUCCUGCUGCAUGGUGGGGGUUGGAAAGUUUCGGCGGUUGGGGAUGGACUCGCGGCUUAUCAGCUUGUUGGUGGGGUAGUGGCUUACCAAGGCUUUGACGGGUAGCCGGCCUGAGAGGGUGACCGGCCACAUUGGGACUGAGAUACGGCCGCGACUCCUACGGGAGCAAGCAGUGGGGAAGAUUGCACAAUGGGCGGAAGCCUGAUGCAGCAACGCAGCGUGCGGGAUGACGGCCUUCGGGUUGUAAACCGCUUUCGCCUGUGACGAAGCGUGAGUGACGGUAAUGGGUAAAGAAGCACCGGCUAACUACGUG
rnacentral:rRNA from 1 species